rnacentral:rRNA from 1 species
AUGUGUGUCCCAAAAACUCAAGGAGGUAUGGGCUUCAGAGAUAUACACUGUUUCAACCUAGCAUUGUUAUCUAGACAAACGUGGCGACUUCUAGAUAAUCCUAAUUCUUUAUGUGCUACUAUAUUGAGAGCUAAGUAUUUCCCUGACUGUUACUUGGUGAAUGCAACUUUAAAAAAAGGCUCCUCCUUCACUUAGCAAAGUAUUAUGGCGGGAGUA